rnacentral:rRNA from 1 species
AGUGAACGCUGGCGGUAGGCCUAACACAUGCAAGUCGAACGGCCGCACAGUAAGCGCUUGCUCUUACGGGUGGCGAGUGGCGGACGGGUGAGGAAUACAUCGGAAUCUACUUUUUCGUGGGGGAUUACGUAGGGAAACUUACGCUAAUACCGCAUACGACCUACGGGUGAAAGCAGGGGAUAUUCAGACCUUGCGCGACUGAAUGAGCCGAUGUCGGAUUAGCUAGUUGGCGGGGUAAAGGCCCACCAAGGCGACGAUCCGUAGCUGGUCUGAGAGGAUGAUCAGCCACACUGGAACUGAGACACGGUCCAGACUCCUACGGGAGGCAGCAGUGGGGAAUAUUGGACAAUGGGCGCAAGCCUGAUCCAGCCAUACCGCGUGGGUGAAGAAGGCCUUCGGGUUGUAAAGCCCUUUUGUUGGGAAAGAAAAGCAGCAGGUUAAUACCCCGCUGUUCUGACGGUACCCAAAGAAUAAGCACCGGCUAACUUCGUG